rnacentral:rRNA from 1 species
GACGAACGCUGGCGGCGUGCCUAACACAUGCAAGUCGAACGGAAAGGUCAUGCGUUUGUGGGGUGCUCGAGUGGCGAACGGGUGAGUAACACGCGAGUAUACUGCCCUUGACUUUGGGAUAACUUCAGGAAAAAGGGGCUAAUACCGGAUAGAAGAUACUGCUGCAUGGGGGGGGUUGGAGAGUUUCGGCGGUUGGGGCUGGACUAGCGGGUUAUCAGCUAGUUGGUGGGGUAGUGGAGUACCAAGGCUAUGAAGGGUAGCCGACCUUGGAGCGGAGCCGGCGACAUGGGUCCUGCGAGACGCAGCAGACGCCUACGGGCGGCAGUGGUGGAGAGUCUUGCACAGCGGGCGGACGCGUGUGACGACAGCGCCCGGUGCGGAAUACCCUGUUACGGGUUGUAAACCGCUUUGGCCGGUGCCGAAGCGUGAUUGACGGUAACGGGUAAAGAAGCACCGGCUAACUACGUG